rnacentral:rRNA from 1 species
GUAGGGUGCGAGCGUUAAUCGGAAUUACCGGGGCGUAAAGCGUGCGCAGGCGGUUGUGCAAGACAGAUGUGAAAUCCCCCGGGGCUCAACCUGGGGAAUUGCAUUUGUGACUGCACGGCUAGAGUGUGUCAGAGGGGGGUAGAAUUCCACGUGUAGCAGUGAAAUGCGUAGAGAUGUGGAGGAAUACCGAUGGCGAAGGCAGCCCCCUGGGAUAACACUGACGCUCAUGCACGAAAGCGUGGGGAGCAAACAGGAUUAGAUACCCUGGUAGUCCACGCCCUAAACGAUGUCAACUAGUUGUCGGGUCUUAAUUGACUUGGUAACGCAGCUAACGCGCGAAGUUGACCGCCUGGGGAGUACGGUCGCAAGAUUA